ACUUGCCUUCAUUGUUGGUUGAUGGCAGAGAUUGGACUACAACUCAAAUUUAAGGAGCUUUUAAAUAAGCCUACAGGCUGCCAAUGUCAUGUUAACAGAAUUCCCCAACGUAAGGAUACUUCAAUGACAAUCCCUAAGAGAAUAUUAUCUGGGGACAGCUUCCAAAAUCAUGCUCGCUAAGCUUGAACAACCUCAACAAGACAACGUUUUAAAUAAAAUGUUAAGGAAA